GCUGAAGUGCAGUUAAAGAACUAUGGGAAAUUCCUGGAAGCAUAUACUUCCCAGCUGAAGAGAAUUGAAGAUGCAUUGGAUGAUUCCAUUGGAGAUGUUUGGGACUUCAAUCUUGACCCCAUUGCAUUAAAUCUUUUGCCUUAUGAACAGUCUUCCUUACUUGAACUCAUAAAGACAGAAAACAAGGUUCUGAACAAAGUCAUCACUGUAUAUGCUGCUCUUUGCUGUGAAAUCAAAAAGUUAAAACAUGAGGUGAAAUAUUUCUUAUCUCUUGUAUCAUGUGUAAGCCGCUAAAUACAUGUUUAAUUUACAUUUGAUAUUUAAGAUGUAAUCAUGAAUUUCUAUCAACUAAA